rnacentral:rRNA from 1 species
UACGGAGGGUGCAAGCGUUAUCCGGAUUCACUGGGUUUAAAGGGUGCGUAGGUGGGUCUGUAAGUCCGUGGUGAAAUCUCCAAGCUUAACUUGGAAACUCCCAUGGAUACUAUAGGUCUUGAAUACCGUGGAGGUGAGCGGAAUAUGUCAUGUAGCGGUGAAAUGCUUAGAUAUGACAUAGAACACCAAUUGCGAAGGCAGCUCACUACACGAAUAUUGACACUGAGGCACGAAAGCGUGGGGAUCAAACAGG